rnacentral:rRNA from 1 species
GUGGGGAAUAUUGCGCAAUGGGCGAAAGCCUGACGCAGCGACGCCGCGUGAGGGAUGAAGGUCUUCGGAUCGUAAACCUCUGUCAGCAGGGAAGAACGGUCACUGUGCUAAUCAGCAGUGAAUUGACGGUACCUGCAAAGGAAGCACCGGCUAACUCCGUGCCAGCAGCCGCGGUAAUACGGAGGGUGCGAGCGUUAAUCGGAAUUACUGGGCGUAAAGCGCUCGUAGGCGGUAUGUCAAGUCAAGGGUGAAAUCCCCGCGCUCAACGUGGGAACUGCCUUUGAAACUGGCAAACUGGAGUGUGUGAGAGGAUAGUGGAAUUCCAGGUGUAGGAGUGAAAUCCGUAGAUAUCUGGAGGAACAUCAGUGGCGAAGGCGACUAUCUGGCACAUAACUGACGCUGAGGAGCGAAAGCGUGGGUAGCAAACAGGAUUAGAAACCCUAGUAGUCC